AGUGAACGCUGGCGGUAGGCCUAACACAUGCAAGUCGAACGGCAGCACAGUAAGAGCUUGCUCUUACGGGUGGCGAGUGGCGGAUGGGUGAGGAAUACAUCGGAAUCUACUUUUUCGUGGGGGAUAACGUAGGGAAACUUACGCUAAUACCGCAUACGACCUACGGGUGAAAGCAGGGGAUCUUCGGACCUUGCGCGAUUGAAUGAGCCGAUGUCGGAUUAGCUAGUUGGCGGGGUAAAGGCCCACCAAGGCGACGAUCCGUAGCUGGUCUGAGAGGGUGACCGGCCACAUUGGGACUGAGAGACGGCCCAGACUCCUACGGGAGGCAGCAGUGGGGAAUAUUGCACAAUGGGCGCAAGCCUGAUGCAGCAACGCCGCGUGCGGGAUGACGGCCUUCGGGUUGUAAACCGCUUUCAGCAGGGACGAGGCUUUUUGUGACGGUACCUGCAGAAGAAGCACCGGCUAACUACGUG
rnacentral:rRNA from 1 species